CAACAUUUCAGUCCCCUUUGGGACUUUCAUCAGGAUCAAGCCUGAUCCUGAUGAAAGUCCCAAAGGGGACUGAAACGUU